rnacentral:rRNA from 1 species
GAUGAACGCUGGCGGCGUGCCUAAUACAUGCAAGUCGAGCGAACGGACGAGAAGCUUGCUUCUCUGAUGUUAGCGGCGGACGGGUGAGUAACACGUGGAUAACCUACCUAUAAGACUGGGAUAACUUCGGGAAACCGGAGCUAAUACCGGAUGAUAUUUUGAACCGCAUGGUUCAAAAGUGAAAGACGGUCUUGCUGUCACUUAUAGAUGGAUCCGCGCUGCAUUAGCUAGUUGGUAAGGUAACGGCUUACCAAGGCAACGAUGCAUAGCCGACCUGAGAGGAUGAUCGGCCACACUGGAACUGAGACACGGUCCAGACUCCUACGGGAGGCAGCAGUAGGGAAUCUUCCGCAAUGGGCGAAAGCCUGACGGAGCAACGCCGCGUGAGUGAUGAAGGUCUUCGGAUCGUAAAACGCUGUUAUUAGGGAAGAACAUAUGUGUAAGUAACUGUGCACAUCUUGACGGUACCUAAUCAGAAAGCCACGGCUAACUACGUG